GAACUGUUGACAUUUUGAAUAUCGGCAGUCUUGUGAAAAUUGAUGCUGAAUUGAUUGAUCACUGUUUUUUUUCUUUUUCAUCAAACUGCAGUUU